rnacentral:rRNA from 1 species
GGGUGCGUAAUACGUGAGAAUCUGCCCUUAGGAGAAGAAUAACUGCUGGAAACGGCUGCUAAAUCUUCAUAUGUCGAGAGAUGAAAUAGCUUAGGCUGCCUAAGGAUGAGCUCACGCCUGAUUAGCUAGUUGGUGAGGUAAUGGCUCACCAAGGCCACGAUCAGUAGCUGGUUUGAGAGAACGAUCAGCCACACUGGGACUGAGACACGGCCCAGACUCCUCCGGGAGGCAGCAGUGAGGAAUUUUCCGCAAUGGGCGAAAGCCUGACGGAGCAAUACCGCGUGAGGGAUGAAGGAUUUUGGUCUGUAAACCUCUUUUCUCAAGAAAGAAGUUCUGACGGUACUUGAGGAAUAAGCAUCGGCUAACUCCGUGCCAGCAGCCGCGGUAAUACGGGGGAUGCAAGCGUUAUCCGGAAUCAUUGGGCGUAAAGCGCCUGUAGGUUGUUUAA